GCCCGUAUUACCGCGGCGGCUGGCACGAAGUUAGCCGGGACUUAUUCUGCGGGUACCGUCAUUAUCGUCCCCGCCAAAAGAGCUUUACAACCCGAGGGCCUUCAUCCUGCACGCGGAAUGGCUGGAUCAGGCUUGCGCCCAUUGACCAAUAUUCCUCACUGCUGCCUCACGUAGGAGUCUGGUCCGUGUCUCAGUACCAGUGUGGGGGAUAACCCUCUCAGGACCCCUACCCAUCACUGUCUUGGUGAGCCGUUACCUCACCAACUAACUAAUGGGGCGCAUGCCCAUCCUUAACCGAUAAAUCUUUAAUUAUCAAAAGAUGCCUCUUAAUAAUACUAUGGAAUAUUAGCCCCGCUUUCGCGGGGUUAUGUCCCUGUUAAGGGUAGGUUGCAUACGUGUUACGCACCCGUGCGCCACUCGUCAGCAUGCAUUGCUGCACCUGUUACCGUUCGACUUGCAUGUAUUAAGCCUGCCGCUAGCGUUCAUCCUGAGCCA
rnacentral:rRNA from 1 species